GACGAACGCUGGCGGCGUGCUUAACACAUGCAAGUCGAACGGAAAGGCCCCUUUGGGGGUCCUCGAGUGGCGAACGGGUGAGUAACACGUGAGUAACCUGCCCUUGACUUCGGGUUAACUUCAGGAAACUGGGGCUAAUACCGGAUAGGAAUCCUUGCUGCAUGGUGGGGGUUGGAAAGCUUCGGCGGUUUUGGAUGGACUCGCGGCUUAUCAGCUUGUUGGUGGGGUAGUGGCUUACCAAGGCUUUGACGGGUAGCCGGCCUGAGAGGGCGACCGGCCACAUUGGGACUGAGAUACGGCCCAGACUCCUACGGGAGGCAGCAGUGGGGAAGAUUGCACAAUGGGCGGAAGCCUGAUGCAGCAACGCCGCGUGCGGGAUGACGGCCUUCGGGUUGUAAACCGCUUUCAGCAGGGGCGAAGCUUGUGGUGACGGUACCUGCAGAAGAAGCACCGGCUAACUACGUG
rnacentral:rRNA from 1 species